CUACGUAGGGUGCAAGCGUUAAUCGGAAUUACCGGGCGUAAAGCGUGCGCAGGCGGUUUUGUAAGACAGUGGUGAAAUCCCCGGGCUCAACCUGGGAACUGCCAUUGUGACUGCAAGGCUGGAGUGCGGCAGUGGGGGAUGGAAUUCCGCGUGUAGCAGUGAAAUGCGUAGAUAUGCGGAGGAACACCGAUGGCGAAGGCAAUCCCCUGGGCCUGUACUGACGCUCAUGCACGAAAGCGUGGGGAGCAAACAGGAUUUGAUACCCUGGUAGUCCACGCCCUAAACGAUGUCAACUGGUUGUUGGGUCUUCAUUGACUCAGUAACGAAGCUAACGCGUGAAGUUGACCGCCUGGGGAGUACGGCCGCAAGGUUGAAACUCAAAUGAAUUGACGGGG
rnacentral:rRNA from 1 species